CCUACGGGGGGCAGCAGUGGGGAAUAUUGGACAAUGGGCGAAAGCCUGAUCCAGCUAUGCCGCGUGUGUGAAGAAGGCCUUCGGGUUGUAAAGCACUUUCAGUGGGGAAGAAAGCCUUGGGGCUAAUACCCUCGAGGAAGGACAUCACCCACAGAAGAAGCACCGGCUAACUCCGUGCCAGCAGCCGCGGUAAUACGGAGGGUGCGAGCGUUAAUCGGAAUUACUGGGCGUAAAGCGCGCGUAGGCGGUCUGAUAAGCCUGUUGGGAAAGCCCCGGGCUCAACCUGGGAACGGCAUCCGGAACUGUCAGGCUAGAGUGCAGGAGAGGAAGGUAGAAUUCCCGGUGUAGCGGUGAAAUGCGUAGAGAUCGGGAGGAAUACCAGUGGCGAAGGCGGCCUUCUGGACUGACACUGACGCUGAGGUGCGAAAGCGUGGGUAGCAAACAGGAUUAGAUACCCCAGUAGUC
rnacentral:rRNA from 1 species